rnacentral:lncRNA from 1 species
UGACUCGAGCCGAGCGCCGGGGGGGCGGGGUGCAGCGGCGCCGCGGGAGGAGCUGGGCGCGGAGCGCGGCCCCUUCCCUGCGGGCGCGCGGCCAGGUUACAGCCACGCUCAGGAGCCUCUUGGGAAAAGCCCAAAAGUCCCCAUUUUGCAGAAAGCCUGCUGGGAUGUGGUGGGACCCCGCGGCGAGAGAAACCCCGGGAGGCCUCGAAAGCCCUGGCUUCCAGGGCCCCACCCUGCCUGGGCAAGGCCUCCCGCGCUCCGGGGCCCGCACUUCCGGCCCCCGCGGGUUCCCUGACCUGCGCUACCGGGCACUUCCGCCGCCAGACACGUGGCCCCGGGGCCUGGAGGAGGCUGCUGGAAGGCCCGGCUCUAGCAGUUGGGGCCUUCACCUGUCCCCGUUAUUUCGUCGCAAGCCCCUGUGGGAAGUGGUGCCGAGGAGGGCCAGAGGGCCUUCACCAGUUUCUGUACUUAGGAGGCAUGGCCUGCAACAAAUGUCGAAAGAAUUACUGAGUGAAUCUGCUGCCUCUUUGGGCAUAUGGUGUGGGAAUUACAUUGAAAUGAUAAAAUCAACAGUGAUCCUUGAAAGGAGCAAGAGCCACAGUACUCCUGAAGUCAGUACUACUCCUUUAUUCUUCAUUGUUGGUGGUUCUAUAGGAGAUAUUAGGUGUUGACUAAUGGAAACUAAUAUCACAGUAUCUUCAUCGCCAAUUAAGCUCACGAUAUCUUUCUCACAGCAUAUUUACUCAUUAUUCAUCUGUAGUGGUUCUCAACUGUCUCAACUGGGUGUGAUUUUGACACCCUACCACACUCCCUGCCCCCACCACAGGCACAUUUGGCAAGGUCCGGAGACAUGUUUAGUUUUAACAACUAGCGGGCCACUACUGGCAUCUAGUGAGCCCCAAAAGUAUUUAACGCCCCACCUUCAUUGACUAUAAAAUAGUGAAAAUAUAUAACCAGUAAGUUGACAGUCAUGAAAGUAAUUUGAAAGGUUAUAAUUACUAAUCAAAUUUAAGGCAUAUUUAUUAGCGUCAUUAUUAAGAGGCAUCAGAGGCCUGCAAAUAAGGGAUAGAUAUUGCUAAACAUGGGAUGCCAGGGAUAGAUAUUGCUAAACAUGGGAGACCCUACCCCCAUCCCAGCAACAAAUUCCCUGGUCCAAAAUGAAGCAUGAGCUCUAACUCUGGAGAGCUAAUACAAUGAGUCGCAGAACGUAACUUCUAUUAUAUAACAACCUCAGUUGACAAAAUGUUUUGUUUAGUGAGUCCACUGCACUCUGAAGACAGCAGUGCCUCUGUCUAGCCCCGAGGCCUUAGGAACAGGAAAAUCAAAAGGGUACCUGCUUGGAUUUUCUACUUCUUAUAAAACAGAGUUAGGAAUUUUCCUUAAGGAUUUGCCAUCUAAAUGUUAUUUAUUAAAUUGGUAAAAUGUGCCUUUGGAGUUGCUUAGCAACUUAUGGAAAGCUUGCUUUUUAGAAGUUCAUUUGUUUGUUUAAAACUAGGGUAGGUUGCAUAUUAUUAGCUACAUUACAUAAAUCAACAAAGAAAUGUACACUGAAAAUGGAAUAAGAUGUUUCAACACAUUUUCUGCUCUCCGUGUCUGGCAAUUAAAACACUCUAAUUGUCUGGUAGAAUUGCAUGAAGUAUUUGACAAACAUUAUUUAUGUAUGAAACUUCAACAUAAUAUUGAGUACGUAAGAGAACCAAAGGGGAAAAAUUAAGCAGGUUUGUCAUAAAGUAUGUGUUUAUCUUAACCUUUCUUCUUCAAAAAUCUUAUCUACUAAGUACUUUUAUCAGACACUAAUUAUACUCUUUCAGAAAAGAAUUUCUCCAACACCCUUCAGUGCCUGCACCCUUUAAUCAUAUCUCAUUACAUCUACCUAAUCCAUAUCUUUUUCACAUUGCCAGGGCUCAUUAACAGUUUUAAAAGCCAAUCUUGGACAUUAUUAUUCCUUGUAAUCGAGAUGAAAAUAAUGCCAAUAAUAUUUUAUUUCUAAAAUGUAAUGGAUCAUUUAAAAUUUGUUCUGAAGCCACUUCUUUAAAUAUUAAUGAGAAAUUAACUUUCAAACAUGCAUUAAGCUAGCAGGAAUGGUGAGAUGUGUCUGAAAACCCUGAAGCACCUUUUCGAAGGAGAAGUUAUUUUUAUAAGCUGUUUUAACAGUGGAUCAUCAGUCACUUUGAAGGGAAGUGAUCCUUGAUUAACAGUUGGCUGAUACUGUGCUUCCACAGAUGUGUAGCAGCAAUACAGGUGCUACCUAUGAAACAGGACAGGUAAUUCACAAGAUCUGAGCAUCUUCUUUUUCUGAGUGAAAAUGUAAAAGUUUGAGUGGGCCUUAAUUUUUGUGUAUUGCCCUAUUUAAUUGUUGAAGAUAAGGCAAACCAAACACCCCACUCAGAUAAUGAGCUAUACGUGGACAUCGUAUUUCCCAUACACUUAAAGAUUGUUAAGUAUGACUGGUCCUUUAUUCUUUUUGAUAGCCCCUAUUUAGAAAAGGAAACCUGGAUCAAAUUUGCAGUUACGUGACUGAAGUAGAGCCUCUUGAUAAUGACUUUUUUUAGGACUUGAAAGUCAAAUCCUGGCUCUUGGGCUAUAACUAUAUAGGAUUAACACAGUAUUCUCAAAAACAGAAGCUUCUUCCACCAUUAUAGUUGAGUUUGAGAUUCUUUCUUGAAAAUUAUCAUUAAGAGUCUUAGGAAAAGCUUAAUAGUGCAUUCAUUUAUUGUGUAUACACUAUUAAGGUAUAAUUUUUGGAAAAAGAAACACAAAUCCCCUGAAGUCAUUGUUCCAAAAAAAAAAAAAAAAAAAAAAAGGGAACAAAAGCCAGCUUUUUUGUACAAGUACCUCAAGGUGUUAUUCCAUAGUAAUGGAGAUGUAAUAAAGCUUUCAUUCAGCUUUGAAUUCUUUUUUCA